rnacentral:rRNA from 1 species
AGUCACUGACAUUAGAUACCCCCGUAGUCCUAGGCGUAAAUGAUGCGAGUUAAGUGUGGGGGCAUCUACGAGAUGGCCCUGUGCUGUAGGGUAGCCGUUAAGCUCGCUGCCUGGGGAGUACGGUCGCAAGGCUGAAACUUAGAGGAAUUGGCGGGGGAGCACCACAACGGGUGGAGCCUGCGGUUUAAUUGGACUCAACGCCGGGAAGCUCACCGGAUAAGACAGCGGAAUGAUUGCCGGGCUGAAGACCCUGCAUGACCAGCUG